AAUGAACGCUGGCGGCGUGCUUAACACAUGCAAGUCGUACGAGAACUCUUCAGCUUGCUGAAGAUAGUAAAGUGGCGUACGGGUGAGUAACGCGUGGGUAAUCUACCCCUGAAUCGGGAAUAACAUUGCGAAAGCGAUGCUAAUACCGGAUAACAUCAUUGAGUCUUCGGAUUUAAUGAUCAAAGGUGGCCAAUCCUUGGAAGCUACUGUUUGGGGAUGAGCCCGCGUACCAUUAGCUUGUUGGUAGGGUAAUGGCCUACCAAGGCAACGAUGGUUAGCUGGUCUGAGAGGAUGAUCAGCCACACUGGAACUGACACACGGUCCAGACUCCUACGGGAGGCUG
rnacentral:rRNA from 1 species